UCUCAGCCACCAAGCUACUUAUUUAAAUGCCCUGAAAAGAAUGGACAGGAGCUGACUCAGAGAAAAACUGAACGAAGAGCAGCCUUGUUACAAAAGCUGGGGGGGCUGUCAGAAAAGGCCCAUCUGAGGGGAUACUUUAAAACUGAGACGACACCACCCUUAAGGGUAAGAAGUUGGCAGCCUCGUUCUCAGUGACUAACCAUUCUCGGUGUUGAUGGGCAUCGUCCUGGCUCAAGCUGAGCCUACCCUGAAUGAGGCUGUUUUACUCUUCUGAAGGUGGCCAGGUCCAAGA
rnacentral:lncRNA from 1 species